GCACCAGUGAGCGGCUGACUCCGGAGCUCCGGGCUCUGUCGGCCCAACCAGGCUGCCGUGGCCUGUGGGAGGCGCUGCUGGGCUCAUGCCUGCAGCCUCCUGCUGGCUCUGUCUCCUUCCCAGAGAGCCCUCUUUGGAACGAGUCUGGGCUUCACCCGAGUGCUCGAAAAAGCAGGUCACAGCCUGAGCCGGAGGGCGGGCGCAGGGAGGGGAGGCCUCCUGCGUUUGUUUGUGAUCCUCAGAACCUGCCCGCUGGACUCAGGAGAACUUGGGAUCUAGAAAGAAAAACCUCUCUUUUGUCACUUCAUUGGUGUACAUAUGAUUUAAAUCAAAUUACAUAAUUACAAUGAAAGACAUGAGCAGCACGAGCUUCGGGAACAAACACAACUGAUUCUUGAUGUGAAAUUUAGGAGACGGAAGGAUGUUUUAUUGGAACGUGUGACCUGUAGAGUCUGCACUGUGGGGGGAGAGGACUUUUUCAUUGUGGCUGAGGACAGAACACAUUUCUGUACAUGCUAAGAGCAAUGGGCAUCCUCAACAUGAAGGCAGGAGCUGCACCAUUGCCAAGGAAAUAUUUGCUGACAUAUUUAACAGGAACACUGUCCCUGGUCACCUAAUUUCUGUGGUCAGUUCUUCAUCCUCUCGGCAGCCUGCUUCAGGGAGCUGGCAAGAGGCUUAAGGAUAGUUUUGUGGCUGUAACUCCCUGACAUUAGUUCCUAAGCUUCACAUGUUGAAGACUGUGCAAGGCUGGGAAGCCAAGAGGUGCAUGGACAGCGCCAAGAGUUCUUUGCAAAGUUGCCUUGAUGGUAAACUGAGAAUAGGAACCGGUUCAGUUUCCUCCGUCUUCUGUGGACAAUCAGUAGCAGUUGGAUUAUUCACACUUCCAGUGUUGUGGAGACUCUGCACAUUGCUACCCCUUUGUAGGUAAGGAGUCUUUUCUCUCUGG